UACGUAGGGGGCAAGCGUUGUUCGGAAUUACUGGGCGUAAAGGGCGCGUAGGCGGCACAGUAAGUCGGGAGUGAAAGCCCGGGGCUCAACCUCGGAAUGGCUUUCGAAACUGCUGAGCUAGAGUACAGAAGGGGCAACCGGAAUUCCCAGUGUAGCGGUGAAAUGCGUAGAGAUGUGGAGGAACACCGAUGGCGAAGGCAGCCCCCUGGGUCAAGAUUGACGCUCAUGCACGAAAGCGUGGGGAGCAAACAGG
rnacentral:rRNA from 1 species